rnacentral:rRNA from 1 species
GACGAACGCUGGCGGCGUGCUUAACACAUGCAAGUCGAGCGGUAAGGCCCUUUCGGGGGUACGACGAGCGGCGAACGGGUGAGUAACACGUGGGUGACCUGCCCUCAGCUCUGGGAUAAGCCUGGGAAACCGGGUCUAAUACUGGAUAUGACUCCAUGACGCAUGUUGUGGGGUGGAAAGCCUUGUGCGGCUGAGGAUGGGCCCGCGGCCUAUCAGCUUGUUGGUGGGGUGAUGGCCUACCAAGGCGACGACGGGUAGCCGGCCUGAGAGGGCGACCGGCCACACUGGGACUGAGACACGGCCCAGACUCCUACGGGAGGCAGCAGUGGGGAAUCUUGCGCAAUGGGCGAAAGCCUGACGCAGCGACGCCGCGUGAGGGAUGACGGCCUCGGUGUAA